AGAUGUGAGGGCGAUCUGGCUGCAACAUCUGUCACCCCAUUGAUAGCCAAGGUUGAUUUGGCUGAUCUGGCUGGCUAGGCAGGUGUCCACUUCCUCCCUUACCGCUCCAUGUGCAUCCCUCCCAAAGCUGCACGCUUGGUCGAAGAGGAUGACCUUCCCCGCUAGAGGAGGACCGUUUUUCGGUCAAGGGUGUACGAGUAGCUGCACUGCCCUGCUAGAACCUCCAAACAAGCUUUCAAACAUGCCCAAACUGUGCCAGUUAUGCUCAUCNNNNN
rnacentral:sRNA from 1 species